GCCUAAACAUGCAGUCGAGCGGAUGAAGAGAGCUUGCUCUUUGAUUCAGCGGCGGACGGGUGAGUAAUGCCUAGGAAUCUGCCUGAUAGUGGGGGACAACGUUUCGAAAGGAACGCUAAUACCGCAUACGUCCUACGGGAGAAAGCAGGGGACCUUCGGGCCUUGCGCUAUCAGAUGAGCCUAGGUCGGAUUAGCUAGUUGGUGAGGUAAUGGCUCACCAAGGCGACGAUCCGUAACUGGUCUGAGAGGAUGAUCAGUCACACUGGAACUGAGACACGGUCCAGACUCCUACGGGAGGCAGCAGUGGGGAAUAUUGGACAAUGGGCGAAAGCCUGAUCCAGCCAUGCCGCGUGUGUGAAGAAGGUCUUCGGAUUGUAAAGCACUUUAAGUUGGGAGGAAGGGCAUUAACCUAAUACGUUAGUGUUUUGACGUUACCGACAGAAUAAGCACCGGCUAACUUCGUGCCAGCAGCCGCGGUAAUACGAAGGGUGCAAGCGUUAAUCGGAAUUACUGGGCGUAAAGCGCGCGUAGGUGGUUUGUUAAGUUGAAUGUGAAAGCCCCGGGCUCAACCUGGGAACUGCAUCCAAAACUGGCAAGCUAGAGUAUGGCAGAGGGUGGUGGAAUUUCCUGUGUAGCGGUGAAAUGCGUAGAUAUAGGAAGGAACACCAGUGGCGAAGGCGACCACCUGGGCUAAUACUGACACUGAGGUGCGAAAGCGUGGGGGAGCAAACAGGAUUAGAUACCCUGGUAGUCCACGCCGUAAACGAUGUCGACUAGCCGUUGGGAUCCUUGAGAUCUUAGUGGCGCAGCUAACGCAUUAAGUCCACCGCCUGGGGAGUACGGCCGCAAGGUUAAAACUCAAAUGAAUUGACGGGGGCCCGCCCAAGCGGUGGAGCAUGGGUUUAAUUCCAAGCAACGCGAAAA
rnacentral:rRNA from 1 species